rnacentral:rRNA from 1 species
AACGAACGCUGGCGGCAGGCUUAACACAUGCAAGUCGAGCGCCCCGCAAGGGGAGCGGCAGACGGGUGAGUAACGCGUGGGAAUCUACCUAUCUCUACGGAACAACUCCGGGAAACUGGAGCUAAUACCGCAUACGCCCUUCGGGGGAAAGAUUUAUCGGGGAUAGAUGAGCCCGCGUUGGAUUAGCUAGUUGGUGGGGUAAUGGCCUACCAAGGCGACGAUCCAUAGCUGGUCUGAGAGGAUGAUCAGCCACACUGGGACUGAGACACGGCCCAGACUCCUACGGGAGGCAGCAGUGGGGAAUAUUGGACAAUGGGCGAAAGCCUGAUCCAGCCAUGCCGCGUGAGUGAUGAAGGCCCUAGGGUUGUAAAGCUUUUUCACCGGUGAAGAUAAUGACGGUAACCGGAGAAGAAGCCCCGGCUAACUUCGUGCCAGCAGCCGCAGUAACAC